UGAAAUGUGGCAGAGUGAGGCAGGGGGUGACAGUGGGCAGCAUGAGGGAAGGAGGGGAUGAAAUGUGUCAGAGUAGGGGAAAAAGGGAGCGACCGGUGGCAGAGUGAGGGGGUGACAGGUGACAGAGUGAGUACGGGGGGUGAUUGGUGGCAGAGUGAGGGAGGGGGUGAAAAGUGGCAGAGUAAGGGAAGGGGGUGACGGGGCAGAGUGAGGGGGUGACAGA